GACGAACGCUGGCGGCGUGCUUAACACAUGCAAGUCGAACGGUGAAGCGCCUUCUUUUUUGGUGGGUGUGGAUGAGUGGCGAACGGGUGAGUAACACGUGAGUAACCUGCCCCCUUCUUCUGGAUAACCGCAUGAAAGUGUGGCUAAUACGGGAUAUUCUGGGUCUGUCGCAUGAUGGGUCUGGGAAAGAUAUUGUUUCGGUGGGGGAUGGGCUCGCGGCCUAUCAGCUUGUUGGUGGGGUGAUGGCCUACCAAGGCGGUGACGGGUAGCCGGCCUGAGAGGGUGGACGGUCACACUGGGACUGAGACACGGCCCAGACUCCUACGGGAGGCAGCAGUGGGGAAUAUUGCACAAUGGGCGCAAGCCUGAUGCAGCGACGCCGCGUGAGGGAUGGAGGCCUUCGGGUUGUGAACCUCUUUCGCCAGUGAAGCAGGCCUGCCUCGUUUGUGGGUGGGUUGACGGUAGCUGGAGAAGAAGCGCCGGCUAACUACGUG
rnacentral:rRNA from 1 species